AGGCAGUAAAUAUCAAUAGAUAACAUGUAUAAAAAGUUCUUUGCAGUCUUCAGUCAUCUUUGAGGAUGUACAGAGGUCCUGAGACCAAAACAGUUGAGAACUAUUAAUCCAGAACACACAGCAGAAGGGCAAAUGAUACAAGAUGAGGCUGCAGAAAUGGAUGGGAGCAAACCAUGUGGCCAAGGGAAGAAUUCUGGUCUUUACCCAAGAGCAAUGUUGGAAUAGUCCACAGGUGUAGGAGGCUAGAAUUAUAGUCCCUUUCUCUGUACACAAUAGUUGUACAGAAUUAUUAAUUGUUCACCUUACUUUUCCACCACUUUGAUCCAUAAAUCUUCAUCACCUUAUAAUGAAUCUCAGAAUUGUUUUCAAAAUGAAUAACUUCCCUUACAUGAUCAGAUGCAUAUCUGAAUUGUACUUGCCUUUAAAACCCAAGUUUCUGCUUGAUUCAUGGAAAAUGUUUAUAGAUGAGCUUCUUUUGUCUUCCCCUCAUGAAGGCCUUCUCUGCUGCUUUAGAAAUCCUCUUUGUGCUCCCUCAUUGGCUCUUUUGUACCUCUGCCCUCUGAAGUUGUUGCAAACUUUAUCCAUUCUCAAACCCCU
rnacentral:lncRNA from 1 species